rnacentral:rRNA from 1 species
GAAAAUGUAGGCAUAAGUAACGAUAAUGCGGGCGAGAAACCCGCACACCGAAAGACUAAGGUUUCCUCAGCGAUGCUAAUCAGCUGAGGGUUAGUCGGGUCCUAAGGCGAAUCCGAAGGGAGUAGUCGAUGGAUAACAGGUUAAUAUUCCUGUACUUCUUAUAAUUGCGAUGGGGUGACGGAGUAUUGAAAGCACCGCGUACUGACGGAAUAGUACGUUAAAGACUGUA